CAAACGACUCUCGGCAACGGAUAUCUCGGCUCUCGCAUCGAUGAAGAACGUAGCGAAAUGCGAUACCUGGUGUGAAUUGCAAAAUCCCGCGAACCAUCGAGUCUUUGAACGCAAGUUGCGCCCGAGGCCUUCGGGUCGAGGGCACGCCUGCCUGGGCGUCACGC
rnacentral:rRNA from 1 species